rnacentral:rRNA from 1 species
GUGGGGAAUCUUCCGCAAUGGACGAAAGUCUGACGGAGCAACGCCGCGUGAGUGAAGAAGGUUUUCGGAUCGUAAAGCUCUUUCGUUAGGGACGAACGUGCUCUUUGUGAAUAAUGAGGAGUAAUGACGGUACCUAAAUAAGAAGCCACGGCUAACUACGUGCCAGCAGUCGCGGUAAUACGUAGGUGGCAAGCGUUGUCCGGAAUUAUUUGGCGUAAAGCGCGCGCAGGCGGGAUAUCAAGUCUGUCUUAAAAGUGCGAGGCUCAACCUCGUGAGGGGACAGAAACUGGUAUUCUUGAGUGUCGGAGAGGAAAGUGGAAUUCCAAGUGUAGCGGUGAAAUGCGUAGAGAUUUGGAAGAACACCAGUGGCGAAGGCGACUUUCUGGACGAUGUCUGACGCUGAGGCGCGAAAGCUAGGGGAGCGAACGGGAUUAGAUACCCGGGUAGUCC